rnacentral:lncRNA from 1 species
UAGACUAAAACAAAAACGGCAGAUUCCGGAAAAAGAGACCAUCGUCUCCAAUUACAAAAAAAAAAGAUGGCAUAAUUCCAAAUUUCUUAGGCAUGAAAUGCAGCCGAGCAACAACUGAAAGUGAGGCUUCUUCAGCUUCAGCUUCAGGUCGACUAUGAAUCCAAUUCUUCAAACGUGAAAAAUAAAGCUGCUAAUCUUUUCACGCUUUCUGGAUAUAAUAGUGGAAACUGAAACUUGAUUACCUAAGAUGAAUAAAUUUUCUAUGGCAAAAGCUAAAAAAAUUCAGCCAUGAACGGCCAAUAUCUAGCUCCUCUCUCAUGCUAUUUUCACUACCAAAACAUUCCCAAAAUCACCUAAAUUAGUAGCCAAAAAACUAUGCAAAACUCUAGCCUUAAUUUAUCUCAAAUUCCAUCCCCAAACUCAGUAAUAGUGUGCUGAAACUUACCCCAAACACCGGCCACCUCUUAGUCGUGAUUUUCUAUCGAGGUUCUGUUACAAGUUCCAAUCAAUAGCUCGUUUGUGUGUUGCCGCACGUUUAUGUAUCGCAAAUUCAGCGAUAAAGGUUCACAUUCUUCAUUCUUCUUUACUAUUAUUUAGCUCACUUUGUUACUCUUUCUCAUUACUCUUUUGUUCUAUGAAUUGUAACAUGAUAAAGUUAAUUGGGUCAUGGUAAUUUUUUAUGUUUAUGAAUUACGUUGUUUCAUUUGUGUUGUAAG